UGCUGGUCAAUGUCUUAAUGAAUGGCAUCA
rnacentral:piRNA from 1 species